AUUCUACAAAAAAGUUCCUAGAAUAAAGUUUCCGAUCAGAGCGAGAUUUCUGGUAGAAAAGUUAUUUAAAGACACAAAAAAUAAAAAAAAACACAUACUAAAAUCAACAGAUUGAAACUGAGAUGGUUUGGGCUUAUCACGCGUAGAGAGGCAUCUGAAGCAGUCAGAAUUAUAACGAAAAUAAACUUUUCAUAGUAGGAAAUAAGUGGAGAGGAAAACCGAUAAAGAGGUGGUUGGAUGCGAUUAAGAAUGAUAUUAGGGUAGCUGGAGUAUGGGAGAUCGGGUCAAGUGAAUGUUUAAGUAAGGAUAACUAACGCCAACUAGUGGGGAUGGAGGCGAAAGAGAAGAAGAAGAAAAAUAAAACCAACAGAUUCUUCGAUUCAUUCAAAAAUGAAUAUCCCAUUUAAAUAAAAAAAAAAACGUAUGGAAUCUACCAAAAACCAGUUGAAUAAAUUUCGAGAUAUAAUCUUACAAUCAAAAUGUAAACAAAACAAUUGAUAUCAAACUUGAACACAAAAAACGACGGUUCACUAGUUUUGGACAAGUCUAUGGCAAGCUGACAUAUGAAAUAUUAAACAUAAACGAACAGACAAGAAAUAGCCGGAUAUUCAAAUAACUGUUUAGGGACUCACUUAAAUCAUUUUCUAAGUAAAUAAUAUAAGGGGUUACAAAUGUGUAAAUUAUGUUACUAUGGCCUAGGAAAUAUGUUUAGUUCAAGGUUUUUACUUUUCAAAAACGUUAAAAAUUCAAUUACCCGUAACUGAUACGGCCAUUACAGUUUUGCAUGAGGCCUGAAAAACACCGACGAAACACAACUUGCAGUGUUUGAGCGAAAAAUUCUAAGUAAUUACGAGUCGUUAAUCGACUCUGAUACUGGAGAAUGAAGAAUGCGUCAUAAUGGUGAGCCGAGAAAUUUUUGUUCCAUUCAUCGAAUAUAAUUAACAAGGGAAAAAAACGGCUCAUUUGACUGCAGUGUCGUUAAUUCCGGCAUAUUUGUUUGGUAUCUUUUUACCGGUACUGUUUGCGAUGUAUUUAAACUAAAUUACCCUGAAUGGCUUCCCAUCGCCCACAACAAUCGCCUACCUGCCCAUAUUUCAAAGUACAUAAUAUUAUAAUUUUCCGUCCGCUUUAAAUCUUAUUUUACAUGAGAUAAUAAUGAACAUCACUUAAUUUGUCGAACAAGAAACGUGUAUAAAUAAAUAUAUAUUUUAACGAUAAUAACGCCACACCAGGACGCCUGCCAGAUGCUCUGCGAGUGAAGUGAUUCGACGCAAAUCGUUUUCUGAGUAUAGCGCACUAUGUUAGAGGAAUAUCAAAAAUAUUCUCGACGGUCGUGGAAAAAAAACACUAUAGCUUCGAUUUUUUCGCUAAAGUUUUCUCCGUACGCUUUAAAUCUGCCCGUCGCGUAAAAUUUACCCCUUGUACCC